CAAAGAAAUCGAAGGAUCUAACUCCGAUUUAUCGGGGAGGAAAGUCCGGACCGCAAAAAGCACAGAAUUCUGCAGAGCAGAACAAGAUGUAAGUUUUGGGCAAUGCUACAGUGACGAAUAGUCCCGAUACCUAAAAGGGUCGGGGUGAAGUGAAACGAGCAUCCUUCUGGCGGAAAUCUCAAGUAGGGGCGUUUGUAUCUAGCUUUUGAGAGCCUCAGGUAGAGAGAAUAGAUUGAUGGUCCUUAAACAGAAUCCGGCUUAUCGAUUUCUUUGGGUU
rnacentral:RNase_P_RNA from 1 species